rnacentral:miRNA from 1 species
CAAAUGAGUGAAGGCUAAUUAGCAGAAUAACUGUACAUAGUAAUUCUGCCAGUCUCCUUCAGACAAGAA